rnacentral:lncRNA from 1 species
CCCGAUACAUUGCGUGUGCACAUCUGUCGCUUCCGUACUGCCGCUACGGAGUGUCCUUCGUUGGCGAACAUGGAGUACAUGUCGCCCGCCCUGCCGCCCUUCAGCCCGCCGCCGCGGCCACCUCCGCCCAGCCCACCGCUAAACCCGCCUCCCAACACGCCGGAUCCCCCACCGCCUCCCUCCCCGGGCUUGCCUGACAGUCCAGGGCUUCCCUUCGGACCCGAUGUGCCCUCCGAAC